rnacentral:lncRNA from 1 species
GCAUCAACCCUAGCCAUGGCGACAUUGCUGGUUAGCUCUGGGGGAGCUUGGCCUACUGGCUGACCUCACCCUCUUCCACCUCAAUUCUAACCUGUUGAAAAUUUGAAUGUGUGCGGGUGGAAGCAAGUGAUAGUUUUUGUGGUGGACAAGGGACAAGCUAGAAUAGUUGAAGAAUAUAGGUCAUGGGAUAUGGAGAAAACAAUUUCAUUAGAUGGACAAAACUAAUUCUGAUGGAGGUGGUGGUGGUGGUGGAGGAGUAUAAGGACAUGGAGUUUAUAAGCUCACUCCCCACACAUUACAGGAAUGAUUCUAAGUUCUAUUUAUAGAGCAACUCCACCAACUUUAGAGGCAUCCGCCGAUUCAUAUUCUUACCCACUAAGCAUACUUGUUUUACAAUAAUUAUAUUUUGAAGCCACUUCCUUUGACCGACUUUCCUUGUUCAAACUGUCUGACAAUAAGAGGAUCUUCUUGGCUAAUUCGGCCACCACCUAGAAUUCUACAACUGGCUGUUCUUGCAUCUCACCAUCAUCACUUCUUCAACAGCAAUUCUUGACUUUUUUUUCGUAAUUCAAGCAAGUGCAAAAUCCAAGCAUUUAUGAGUUUGGAUAUAAUUUUCGUGAGGCAUUUUUGGCCAAGCAAAGGGUUUAGUUGGGAGGAAAUUAAGGGGGAAAUUGCACUUGUGGCUUGCUCGUUGCGCCUCAGCAGCUAUUCUUGACUUAUUUUCAAGGUUUCCCAAGUCUUCUUCAACUUGGUUAUGCUUACUGUUUCUUUUGCUGAUGCUUGCUUGCAUUCCCACGUGAGUCUUCUAGGUUCAAUUAACCAACCAUUCUCAAUAAUUCUAGACAAUCUUCAACAUGGACGGUGCUGCCAACGUUCUUGCCUUCUUGAUUAACUCAGUAGUUUUUAGAUAAUUUAGAGAAAAUAGAUCACAAUUUCCAACAUAACUGAUUCCGCAGCACCAUGUUGUGGAAGUUCCAAAGUCUGAAGCAGCUCUUUGAGCUGGAUCUAAGCAACAACUAGUUUCACCGGGAAAUUUCCAAAGGUCGCACUGGAGCACCUAGUGCUAAACUUCUUAGACCUCCGUUUCAACGAGUUUGAGCUCUUUGACACAGAUUUGGAAACCUUUUUCAUCGAUGAAAACCAAUCUCGUCUUAUGCCACGAGUAAAACGUUAGGAACACCCUACGAGGAGCUUCACCACAUUUGCUGGGGAAUUUUUCGAUUAGGGUUUCUUUAAAAGGCAAAGGGAAGAAGAUGAAUAAUACAGGCGAAGGAAAGAUUGAAAAUAGAAGAAGAUAAAAGACAAAAGAGAAAAAAAGAGAAAAAAAAUUGAGAAAAUAGACUCAAUACUAUGUCAUUUUGUUAAGGUAGUUUGCAUUAGACGUCAUUAGUAAUACCUAAAACCGUCAAUGCUGGCGAGUCCAUACUAAUAUUUUUAGACAAUAAUUUAUCUGGCGAGUCCAUACUAAUAUUUUUAGACAAUAAUUUAUCGGAAUGAUUUCAUUUGAAAAUUAUCAUAAGAUUUAAGAUUGCAUUGAUCAAAUUUAAAAGUUUGGAGUUUAAUUGUGAGUCGCACAAUAAAUUUAGGAUUUUUUAAAAGUUUGGAGUUUAAUUGUGAGUCGCACAAUAAAUUUAGGAUUUUUAGGUAAUAUUAUCUCAUAUAUUUUUAAAUUUGAUAAAAUUAUGCCAAGAUUGAGUUCCAUUAUACCAUGGACAUGUAGCACCAUUCUGAAAAUUGUUGAAUAUAACGACAUACAAGAAAUGAAAAGAAGGUAAUGGAAUAUUUAGAUAAUUAAAUAGAAAUUAAAAAAUGGAUUAGUUGAGAGGAUGAGAGUAUUAUUUAUGGGGUAAUCACUCUUUUGUGGGGCCUUCUAGAAGCUAGCAUCUUGAUUUGAUUGAAUUACAAAAGAGAAAAUUAUAAUAGUCAGAUGUAUAAUGGAAUUUUUUUAUUAAAAAAAAAAAUGAGUGAUUGAGACUUACCGGGAGAGUAUGAUUGAAGUGUACUCUCUUUUUUGCGGAGUCUUCAAAAUCCUUGUUUACUCUCUCUCAAUAUAUAUAUGUGUGUGUGUUUAUACUUUCUCUAUCCAUACCAUUUUUCUUUUCGAGAAAACUUAUCAAGAUUGUAAUUGUAUUUUUUUUUUAGUUAUAUGUAUGUUGUAUGCAUAAUUCGUUUCAAUUACCAAGUCAACUCCACACCUUCGCAAAGUGUUUGUAAUGUGAAGACUAAGAGUUGAACCCUAUGCCAUGAGUAUGCUUGCAUCUUGUCCUGCUCACGUGAAUAUAUAUAGAUGCACACAUUCGAAUAUGUGUUCAUAUCAUCUAAUCUCCUAUUACAUGUUAGAGAGAUGAGAUUAGCCAUAUAGUAAUGACAGAGGAUGAAACAUAAUGUUUUGAGACCAUGUUCAUAUCAUCUAAUCUCCUAUUACAUGUUCGUGUGGUAACUUUUGGUAAUUCUCCAUAAUUCUAUAAAUACCAUAACAUACAUAAACUUGAAAUUAUUUUACAAUCCAUAGAACAAGAUUUACACUUUUUUUUUUUCAAUAUUGAGAGGUGGUCAUCCGUUCUCCCAGUCCUAAACUCGAAGAGGAGCAUAUCAGGGGCAUGGGAAAAUCGAGCGAAAUUAGGUUUGGAAUCUCGGGUGCUUCCAUCCCCCCCCAUGUCCUGUGGACGUGAUUGGCCAACUAGUCUGUCGUUUCUUCUAUGGGUCACCACCGUCAUUUUGUUGGGGGUUCGGAAUUCGCCUCCUCUCCCCGGUCAGCACCAUCAUUUUCAACCCCAUGGGAGUUUGGAAUUCACCUCCUCUCGCUGGUCACCACCAUCCUUUUCAAUCUCUCGGGAGUUCGGAAUUCACCUACUAUCCCCGGUCACCACCAUCAUUUUCAAUCUCUCGGGAGUUCGGAAUCCACCUACUAUCCCCGGUCACCACCAUCCCUCCCUCCUUCCCUCUCUUCCUCAGCGUCACUUCGAUCGCCAGGGAAUUAGGAAUUCACCUCUCUCCCCACUACCAUCGCUCCCUCCUUCCCUCUCUUUUCUCAGCGUUUGAAACCCGGCGCAUCGCCACGACAGAAGCCAAGGUACCCUUCGUUCAAGCACGCGCAGGGUUAACGCAGAACUGUGCUCCUAGGCCAUUCAAGGCCUCUCAUGAGUCGCACCACUACUGGCGCACUCGUUCUCUUACCCAAGUUCAUUGCCACCCAACUCCUUCCCUUUUCCUCUCUUUCCAUCCCUGCAUAAUCCUCCGCCUCCGUUUCUAUCAUCCUGCCACCACCAACCUUUGAGACAUCCCAGAGCUCAGCUUCUGGCGUAUGCACAACUUAGCAGCAGUUUUGCUGGUGAUUAGCUUUCCAAAGGGCUUUCAAUCUUCUUUUCUUGUUCUUAUUCAGGUUCCAGGGGAAAAAAAGGGUCUAAAACUGUAGCUGGAAAUUUCAGACCCCCCAUACUGAUCUCACCCUUCACCUUGCUCUCUCCAUCAGUUUCGUUCCUUUAUGUGCGUCGAAGCUAAUCUAAGACCAGCUCAAGCACACAAGUCCAAGAGAGAUUAAGGGCCCAAGAGAGAGAAAAUUAUGCCUCAGAUUAUCAACAAGGUAUUGGUGCUACUGAUCGGGAAUGUGGAAAGACUGGAAGAACUUAAACCUGGGGAUCACAUCUACACUUAUAGGCGAUAUGGCUUAUACACCCAUCAUGGUUAGUGGUUCAUCUUCCUCUUCUUCGUUUUAACCUGAUACCUUAUUUUUUUUCUUUAUUUCUUGCCCAACAACCCAUUUUGAAAUAAACUUGGCCAACUGUUUUUUUUUCUUUAAAGCUUUCGGAAAUAAAUUCGUAUGUGUUUUUGUACUCAAAAUUAUUCCAUCAAACUUUGCACACACCUAGUUUAAAACAUCAUUGUCUUAUUAAGCAAAUAAAUUUUUGUAUCCAAAUCCGAACCUCAUUUUUUUUUUUUGCCCAACAACUAUUUUUGAAAUAAACUUGGCCAAACUUUUCUUUCUCUUUAAACUUUCGGAAAUAAAUUCGUAUAUGCUCCUGUACUCAAAAUUAUUCUAUCAAAUUUUGUAUGGAUCUAGUUUAAAACCUCAUUGUCUUAUUGAGCAAAUAAAUUUUUGUGUCCAAACUCAACACCUCAUUUUUAUUUAACAAUCCAUUUUGAAAUAAACUUGGCCAACUAUUCUUUUUUUUUUUUUCCUUUAAUUCUUUUUUUGUGACCCAGGGGAACCCUGCAUAGCUGGGAGUAAACCCCUAGGGAGGCACGUAGGAAACCACCACCCACGCAGCCCGGGUAAGUCGCCAAGUGUCCCCACCUACCUCCCUGCAACUUGCGUCGCAGGGGCUUCGAACUCCGACCUCCAGCGUGGAAGUCCAGGAGCCUACCAGCGGAGCCAUCCUUGCCGGUGGUUUUUUCCUUUAAAGUUUUCGGAAAUAAAUUCGUACGUGCUCCCGUACUCAAAAUUAUUUCAUCAAACUUUGCAUGGAUCUAGUUUAAAAUCUCAUUGUCUUAUUGAGCAAAUAAAUUUUUGCGUCCAAACCCAACACCUCAUUUUUUAUUUUUUUUUUGCCCAACAACCCAUUUUGAAAUAAACUUAGCCAACUGUUUUUUUUCCUUUAAAGUUUUCGGAAAUAAAUUCGUAUGUACUCCCGUAUUCAAAAUUAUUCCAUCAAAUUUUGCAUACACUUAAUUUAAAACCUCAUUGUCUUAUUGAGCAAAUAAAUUUUUGCGUCCAAACCCGGCACCUCUUUUUUUUUUUUUUUUGCGCAACCCCUUUUGAAAUAAACUUGACCAACUGUUUUAUUUUUCUUUUAAAGCUUUCAGAAAUAAUUUUUUUUUUUUGUGAUCUAGGGAAUCUCGUGCGCCGCUUCGCGGCGAAGUAAACCGUGGGGACAGGUAGAGUCACCACCCACCCUUGCCUGUCGGGUAAAUCGCUUGACGACGCCGUGGAUCGAACUCGGGACCUCUCGUGCAAAGUUCCCUUGCCCAACCACCUACGCCACCACCACGGGUGAUCUUUUGGAAAUAAAUUCGUACGUGCUCCCGUACUCAAAAUUAUUCCAUCAAACUUUGUACGCACCUAGUUGAAAACCUCAUUGUCUUAUUGAGAAAAUAAAUUUUUGCGUCCAAACCCGACACCUCAUUUUUUCUUUAUUUCUUGCCCAACAACCAUUUUUGAAAUAAACUUGACCAACUUUUUUUUUUUCUUUAAAGCUUUCGGAAAUAAAUUCAUAUGUGCUCACAUACUCAAAAUUAUUCCAUCAAACUUUGCACGCACCUAGUUUAAAAUCUCAUUGUUUUAUUGAGCAAAUAAAAUUUGGCAUCGAAACCCAACACUUCAUUUUUUUUCUAUUUCUUGCCUAACAACCCUUUUAAAAAUAAACUUGGCUAACUGUUCUUUUUUUUCUUUAAAAAUUUCAGAAAUAAAUUCGUAUGUGCUCCCAUACUCAAAAUUAUUCCAUCAAACUUUGCACGCACAUAAUUUAAAACCUCAUUGUCUUAUUGAAAAAUAAUUUUUUGCGUCCAAACCCAACACCUCUUAAAAAAAUAAACUUGGCUAACUGUUCUUUUUUUUUCUUUAAAAAUUUCAGAAAUAAAUUCGUAUGUGCUCCCAUACUCAAAAUUAUUCCAUCAAACUUUGCACGCACGUAAUUUAAAACCUCAUUGUCUUAUUGAAAAAUAAUUUUUUGCGUCCAAACCCAACACCUCAUUUUUUUUAAAAAAAUAAACUUGGCUAACUUUUUUUUAAUUAUUUUUAAAGCUUUAAGAAAUAAACUCGUACGUGCUCCCGUACUCAAAAUUAUUCCAUCAAACUUUGCACGUACCUAGUUUAAAACCUCAUUGUUUUAUUGAGAAAAUAAAAUUUGGCAUCCAAACCCGACACUUCAUUUUUUUUUUUUUAUAUUUCUUGCCCAACAACCCUCUUAGAAAUAAACUUGGCCAACUGUUUUUUUUCUUUGAAGCUUUCGGAAAUAAAUUCGUAUGUGCUCCCGUACUCAAAAUUAUUCCAUCAAACUUUACGCGCAUCUAGUUUAAAACCUCAUUGUCUUAUUGGGAAAAUAAAUUUUUGCGUCCAAACCCAAUACCUCAUUUUUUUUUAAUUUCUUGCCCAACAACCCUUUUUGAAAUAAACUUGGCCAACUUUUUUUUUUUAAAGCUUUCGGAAAUAAAUUCGUAUGUGCUCCCGUACUCAAAAUUAUUCCAUCAAACUUUGCACACACCUAGUUAAAAACCUUAUUGUUUUAUUGAGCAAAUAAAAUUUGGCAUCCAAACCCGACACUUCAUUUUUUUUUUCUAAUUCUUUUCCAACAACCAUUUUCUAAAUAAAUUUGGCCAACUGUUCUUUUUUUUUCUUUAAGACUUUCGGAAAUAAAUUCAUAUGUGCUCAGCUACAAGUUUUUUGUUUUCUCGGGAUAAUGGUUUCGUUUUUUCUUUUUAAAUUGAAAUGGACUUUUAUGUAGGGUGCUCACAAUUGCACCACAUCCCGGAGAAGUUUCAAGAAACAACCAUCUAACCCCACAACUUGCCUACAUUCACUAAGGAACCAUUUCUUACAAGCAGCAAAGCAAAUAUACAUUCUUUCAAACAAUGCCUUGGAGUGCAUAUCUGGCUUUUCAACCUUCAAUGUAACAGUACUCCCAGGAUUUUUCUCCCUAAGCUCCUCCACAUAAUCCCAUAGUUUUGCAUAUUCUUUCUUAUAGUUUCCCAUCAACACUUUAUAAGCAAACAACUUAGCCUUCGUACAUUGAGCUAUGCUUACAUCUAAACCUAAUUGUUCCUUGAUUAAUUCCUUGAAAGCAAUAGUUUUAAUAGUUGGCAUUGCUUUUAUUGUAGAAAGAUAAUGAUUUGCCAAUCAAGAACUUGUCACCCUCCUAUUUUUGAAGCAAAUGCUACAAGUAUGAUCUGAAUGUAAGGUCUUGGCAUGAAAUGAUCCAAAACGAGCAUCAACAGAGCCAAAAAUCUUCCAAGGACAACUCUCAUUAACACAUUUUGCUCUAACAAAUUUCUUAUCAUUCUUUGUAAAUUUUAUCUCUCUACGUUCAGUCACUGAGUACUUUUUCAAAGCAUCUUUGAAUUGGCUACUACUAUCAAAUGUCAUAGCCACAGUAAACACAAGCACAUCACAAUUAGGAUUAUAUCUUGGAAACCUACUUCUCUUUCUAGUAAAAUCAUCUUCUCCCUCUAUAUCAGACCCCAAACUGUCAUAGGCAUCUGUAUCAUAAUACUCCGUCUCGUAACUAGCUUCAGCAUCAACUCCACUAUUCACAUCUAAUGGUUGAGAUGAUACUAAUACUGUGGAUGGUUCCCCUAUAAUCAAAUCCUUUGUAACCCUCCCACGAAACUCAAUUAUAUUUUGCCUUGCUUCUAGAAGCUCUUCAUUAUCAAUAUCAUCAUCAUCAGUCCAAAAUCUUACACCGCCAAGAAAAUUUGUCUCAUCAUCAUUGUCGUCAUCCAGAAUAUCCCCCUCUACGUCAAUAAAAUUACCUUCAUCAACUAAGUCAUUAGGAUCUAAGUCAUCCUCGUGCUCAAUAAUUGUCUCAUUUGCUAAACCAAUAUCAUUGCGAGCACCCACACUAAUCCCUUGACCAACACUCUCACUUGGGGAAGCAUCCUCACCCUCACCACCCCCGUGACCAAAACCCUCACUUGGACUAGCACUCUCACCCUCACCCACACCCACACCCACACCCACGCCAACCCCUUGACCAUCACCCUCAACUGCCUCAUCGAUUGCGAAAUUUUCUCCAUAUAUCUCAAUUAACUCACAAUGCAAAUAACUUAAAAGUAAAUCAAUGACAUUGCUCUCAUUCCAUAUAUAUCUCAACCCAUCUUCUAGAGACUUUCUAGGAAACUUAAAAUAAAGUUUUUCAAAUUUACACUUUACCCCAUUCUCAAUAUCUCUAAUGAAGCUUUCAUAGCUCCUUGAACCGAUAUCAACUUUUACCAAAUCAAUCUUACCCCCAACAUAUUCAAGCAUUGGGCAACGGUAAAAAUUUCCACCAUGGAAAGGCAAGCCCAUGCCGACUUGUCGCUCAUCUCAACCCUAUACAAAAGAACGCAAUAUAUGUUGUAAGAAGCCACAUAAUGGAGAUUUUAACAUGAAUGGCCAAAAGUGCUAAAUAAAUAUAAAGAGUUUGACUUGAGCAUAAGUGCAAAAUCCUUCCCGUCUCAUAAUUACAAGUGAAAUUCCUCUCUAAUUUACAGGAAUUAACUAAUUCAAUUAAUAUCUAGUACCUAUGAUAUGAGAGUUCAAGGUGAAUAGUGGCAUAAAAUUAGUUUGCUUUCAAGUUAGAUAUUUGGUUUGUAUAGCUACUUGAAGCCAAUGCCAAAAAUCUUAGGGCUGAUAAAAGAAGUUUUUCUCCCAUAGUAGACGUGAUCUUGUUUUUUUGCAACUAAUGAAGGAUAAAAAAAGACCACGAUGCUAGGUUCUUUGUAUACAGAUAUAGCAGGUCAAUGUAUUACAAGCAGCAUGGCUCACAAGGCUUUAAUUUUAGAAUGUUACUUCAUAUUAUCUCAAUUCUUUCCUACCAUCACUUCCAUGGAUAUCGUCUUUUGGCUUUUCAGGAUUUUUGACAAUAGUUUCAUUGUUUAGGCGGCUGAAGAGUGUACUUCUAUGCUUAAACUUUGAAGUUAAUUUGCUCAGAAUCACUAAUCUACUUUCAGUUUAAAACCAAACAGUUGGUUUGUUCAACACACGCAAAGAAAUAAGAUAUUUUGGGAACACGACAAAGACAAUCAUAGAGACAAAAUAAUUUGGGAACAGGACAAAGACAAACAUGGAGACAAAACAUAGUUUAGGACCACGGCAAUAUACCUUUUGACAGAUUUUGAUUGACUUCACGACCACCCACCACGUAGCUCACCACUUGCCGACAACACAAUCAAAUUGGGACCACCUCACUUGCUUGUGUUUGCUGGAUGAACGAAUCGGGUCAAGUUGUGCGAGAAUCGAGUCUUCGGGUCUUCGGGUCUCUCGUCUUCUCAUUUGUAGCAACGAACAAAUUGGGUCAAGUUGUGGCCGAAUCAGGUCUUUGGGUCUUCAGGUGUUCUUGAUUCGGGCAAGAAGCGACGAACAAUGGCGUUGGCCAAAAAGGGGCUUGAUUCAUGAAGGAUAUUGAGGAAAUCACAAUAUGAGAUCAAAUCAGCUCAAAAUCUACAAGAAUUUCGGAGGAGAUCUCACUAGGGUUUUUUAGAUGAUUUUGGAAAGAAGCAAGGAGCAGCCGCACGACUUUUCUCUUCUGCCUUUUCUCUUUGGCUUUUAUUUUUUAAAAAAGUAAAACGACGACGUUUUGCUCUCCGGUGCCAUGUCAGCGUCGGCAACGCCGACCGGUGCUGACUAGGAUGCCACAUCAGAUUUUUCCGACUAUGCAUGGCCGGAUGGACUGAACUGGAACAAAACCAAAAUGUUUAGGACUAAAUUGGCCAAAAAAAAAAAGAGUUUAUGACUGAAUUGGCAUAAUUGCAAUAGGUUUAGGACUUUUUUGGUAAUAUUCCCUCAUGGGAUAUGGAGAAAACAGUCUCAUUAGAUGGACAAAACUAAACUAAUUCUGAUGGAGGUGGUGGUGGUGGAGGAGUAUAAGGACAUGGAGUUUAUAAGCUCACUCCCCA